rnacentral:rRNA from 1 species
GAUGAACGCUGGCGGCGUGCCUAAUACAUGCAAGUCGAGCGAACAGACGAGGAGCUUGCUCCUCUGACGUUAGCGGCGGACGGGUGAGUAACACGUGGAUAACCUACCUAUAAGACUGGGAUAACUUCGGGAAACCGGAGCUAAUACCGGAUAAUAUAUUGAACCGCAUGGUUCAAUAGUGAAAGACGGUUUUGCUGUCACUUAUAGAUGGAUCCGCGCCGCAUUAGCUAGUUGGUAAGGUAACGGCUUACCAAGGCAACGAUGCGUAGCCGACCUGAGAGGGUGAUCGGCCACACUGGAACUGGGACACGGUCCAGACUCCUACGGGAGGCAGCAGUAGGGAAUCUUCCGCAAUGGGCGAAAGCAUGACGGAGCAACGCCGCGUGAGUGAUGAAGGUCUUCGGAUCGUAAAACUCUGUUAUUAGGGAAGAACAAAUGUGUAAGUAACUAUGCACGUCUUGACGGUACCUAAUCAGAAAGCCACGGCUAACUACGUG